AUGAGACGAUUGGUGGAAAGCUGACAAUGGGUGGGCGUACAAGAACAUUAAAUACUGGUCUUCUGGUUUGAAUUCCUCACUAAGGAGGAUCACACUGGCGAGCGACAGUCCCUCCUACAUCCACUGUUUGGUCUUGUCGUGCCUUAGUAAAAGACAGGAUGAUUGCGACGUAUUUCUUGGGACUGCUGCUUCCGGUGACCUGCGUCGUGCAUGCGCAGUGGGCACAGACGCUUGGAUGGGGCGGUGCCGGCUUUGGCAAGAGGAUAGUCAGUCCUUCUGUAACAUCACAGCAUCAUUCCCGAUACAUCGCACAGACUGAUCUGCGGAAACCCGAUCCUCGUCAGUCGUUAGCGUCGUCUGACUUGUCUGACCCGACUUCCGACUAUCAGCAGGACCAGUCUCUCAUGAAACUACUCAGCAACAUACUUCAGGAAGAAAUGCAUCGCAUCAAGAAGUGUUUGAACUCGAACUCUGAUGGUCCAGAGAACUGACAUAACGAAGAGCCUCGUGUCGAUGACAGGAUGCGAGAAGUUUGAUCGAGAGUACCACUGAUAUCUGGUGCUACCAUCAAACACGACAGAUUCUCCUGGCUAGAGGAAAAAAAUCCCUUUCUGCUGUCAGGCUUCAUGAAAUCGACCUUUAUCAAAUUACUCAGUCAUCGUAUGUCAUUAAAAAUGUGUUUGCAAAAUCGAGGUUGUAUGUGUGUGGACGCGUGCGCACGUACGAUGAUGACCCUCGCACAAGACAGAGUAAACCAAGUUUAUCUGUGAUCGAAACCAUUCGGUAUGAGAAGAAAAUCGAAUAUUGUAAAGGACCUGGAUAUAGAUUACACUUUUAAUGUAGGUAAGCUUUUGCUUCUAAUCCACUCUCUCUCUCUUCACAUUUCACACCCUUGGCGAGACUGUCAUCGCACAUGUUAAAGGUGGGAGAACAACUGAGCUGAAAGGCUUAUUGACUGCUAAACGGCAAACAAACGGAGAAACAAAUAUAGAAUUUAAGAUGUAAUGGCCAAAAGAUGGAGUGGCCAGAUGCAAAACCUAACAGCAGCAAUAGAACAACACACAUCACGCACAUCAGUAAUGAAACACAACGCAGGGAUUUGUGAUUUUAAAAAAAAAUGAUCAUAUCACAUCAUUUAUACAAGAGGCACCAGGCACAAUUAUGUUGUAGACACAAAAUGCUAAAUAUACUGUACACAUCUAAACAGCAUACGACUGUCUCAAACAACUGGUCAAUGUGGAGAGCUGUACACGAUCACUUGUAAGAAAACCAAUAUCGCCUAUGCAAUCAGCCCUCUGGGAUUAGUUACAAAAUGGCCUUUCUGAACGAGCAGGUCAUUCAGUCAUGUUUUCUAACCAAUGUAUGGCUUUCUUGGCAGCAACUGCCUCCCAAGGGUGUGGCACGAGCUUCUAAUGCUUCACCUUGGACUAGAGUUAGUUCAACCUUGUCCUUCCCAACUUGUUUUCAAUCAAUAAGCAAGCGACUUAAUCAACAAGCUACCCCAAUGAAUGGACCCUCAUUUGUUUAGUUUACAAAAUAAAAAAAGUUGGAAGAAUGAAUUAUUAAUAAUAAUAAAGUUAAUUUAUAUAGCGCUUUAUCCCACUAGUGAUAUGUCAGCCAGUAAGCGCAGACGUCUGCUAAGCACAACUCUCCUCCCCACCCUCAUUAAUCCAGAGCUUCUGCCACAGAAACGUUUCGCAAAAGCUGUAGACAAUAAAGCGGCCAAAAAAAAAAACAUCACCACCAUCUUUAAACCUGAGUGGAUGCAAGUUCCAACUUCUUGCCAGUAAGCUUACUAACAAAUGCCUUCUACUCGCCGCGCGCAGUCCAGUUGGAUCUGACCACACAUCUCCCCAUGCAGUUGUUUGCAGGUAUGUUAACAGUCCUAGGUGAAACAUUACAAGAAACAACAGUACAGGCCAAAACUUUUAGAGAUCAUCACAAGUUGGCGAUAGUCUGUCCCUUUUUUAAUUACAAAUAUCUACAAAGACGCAGAGAUGGGGAGUUGAUGAUGUACAUGGACUGAUGACA